rnacentral:rRNA from 1 species
UACAGAGGUCUCAAGCGUUGUUCGGAUUCAUUGGGCGUAAAGGGCGCGUAGGCGGCGCAACAAGUCACUUGUGAAAUCUCCGGGCUUAACCCGGAGCGGCCAAGUGAUACUGUCGUGCUAGAGUGCGGAAGGGGCUACUGGAAUUCUCGGUGUAGCGGUGAAAUGCGUAGAUAUCGAGAGGAACACCUGCGGCGAAGGCGGAUAGCUGGGCCGACACUGACGCUGAGGCGCGAAAGCCAGGGGAGCGAACGGG